rnacentral:rRNA from 1 species
UAACCCAUAUGUUAACUAACACCAGAGCAUUUCAAAAAAGAUUUAAAGAAAAAGAAGGAACUCGGCAAAUUUUAACCUCGCCUGUUUACCAAAAACAUCGCCUCUUGAAUUAAUAUAAGAGGUCUAGCCUGCCCAGUGACUCUGUUCAACGGCCGCGGUAUCCUAACCGUGCGAAGGUAGCGUAAUCACUUGUUCUUUAAAUGAGGACUAGUAUGAAUGGCAUCACGAAGGUUUUACUGUCUCCUUUUUCUAAUCAGUGAAACUAAUCUCCCCGUGAAGAAGCGGGGAUAGAUUUAUAAGACGAGAAGACCCUAUGGAGCUUUAAACUGUGUAACACUUGCACCAACCCCUUGCAAAUUUCAGAAAAACCUACUUUAUCCAUGCAAGAUUAUUAUCAGUUUUAGGUUGGGGUGACCGCGGAGCAAAAAACAACCUCCACAUUGAAGGGAUAUUCCUCCUGAGCAAAGAACAACACCUCCAUGCACCAUUACAAUGACAUCAAUUGACCCAAUAUUUUGAUCAACGAACCAAGUUACCCUAGGGAUAACAGCGCAAUCCACUUCAAGAGCCCCUAUCGACAAGUGGGUUUACGACCUCGAUGUUGGAUCAGGGUAUCCCGGUGGUGCAGCCGCUACCAAAGG